UUUCAAGGAAUCACCUUAGACUAAUAAGAGUCAUGAAAAUGAAAAUGCCGAGUGAUGGUGGUAGAUAGAAAGAACACUGCGAGUGGAUUUCCAAAUAUCAUCCUGUACCGCAGUAACUGAGGGAGUUUUUUUGUGUUGUUGUUGUUGUGAGAAAACUUCGCUCCUGGAAAAUGUCUCAAAAUGGGUAUUUAUUUGGAAUGCGCAGGUCCUUAGUCUGGAUCAUAUGGAAAUUUAUCCUUCCGAGAGAGAGGAUAAUUUUCCCUGUUUUAUACACAUAAUGUACUCACAAUACACAGCCAGCGCGCGGUGGCAAUGCCGGCUGUAUGGUAUGAGAUGAUUCCUGGGAAAAGCUGUGUAUAUUUGAUUGCUGAAAAAUACUCCCAUAUCUUCAAAGACAAUUGAAGAAUAUGCCUAAAUAAUUUUUUGGCAAAAGGGGAUGCAAUUUAAAAUUUAUUUAAGCAGCACUAACGUCCUGGAUGGACUGAUGAAUUGUUGUAGAAAUGAAAAAAAAAAAAAAAAAAAUUGGGAAAAAAAACUCC